rnacentral:rRNA from 1 species
GACGAACGCUGGCGGCGUGCUUAACACAUGCAAGUCGAACGAGGUCCAUGGAGCUUGCUCCGGAAGACCUAGUGGCGAACGGGUGCGUAACACGUGAGAAACCUGCCCUGGACUUGGGAAUAACAGUCGGAAACGACUGCUAAUACCGAAUACCUUCGCACCGUCGCAUGGCGGAGCGAAGAAAGCUCUUGCGGUCUGGGAGGGUCUCGCGGCCUAUCAGCUUGUUGGUGAGGUAACGGCUCACCAAGGCAUCGACGGGUAGCUGGUCUGAGAGGAUGAUCAGCCACACUGGGACUGAGACACGGCCCAGACUCCUACGGGAGGCAGCAGUGGGGAAUAUUGCACAAUGGGCGCAAGCCUGAUGCAGCAACGCCGCGUGCGGGAUGAAGGCCCCUAGGGUUUGUAAACCGCUUUCAGCAGGGAGAAAAUGACGGUACCUGCAGAAGAAGGUGCGGCCAACUACGUGCCAGCAGCCGCGGUAA